rnacentral:rRNA from 1 species
GGACUACAGGGGUAUCUAAUCCUGUUCGCUCCCCACGCUUUCGCGUCUCAGCGUCAGUACCGUACUAGAGAGCCGCCUUAGCCACGGGUGUUCUUCCUGAUAUCUGCGCAUUUCACCGCUACACCAGGAAUUCCACUCUCCUCUUCCGGACUCUAGCCUGAUGGUUUCCACCGGCGUCUCGAGGUUGAGCCUCGAGUUUUCACAGCGGACCUACCAAACCGCCUACACGCUCUUUACGCCCAAUAAAUCCGGACAACGCUUGCCCCCUACGUAUUACCGCGGCUGCUGGCAC